rnacentral:rRNA from 1 species
GACGAACGCUGGCGGCGUGCUUAACACAUGCAAGUCGAACGAUGAAGCUGGAGCUUGCUCUAGCGGAUUAGUGGCGAACGGGUGAGUAACACGUGAGCAAUCUGCCCUUGACUCUGGGAUAACUGCGGGAAACUGUAGCUAAUACCGGAUACUUUCACCGGGGGGCAUCCUCUGGUGAUGAAAGAAUUUCGGUCAAGGAUGAGCUCGCGGCCUAUCAGCUUGUUGGUGAGGUAACGGCUAACCAAGGCGACGACGGGUAACCGGCCUGAGAGGGGGACCGGUCACACUGGGACUGAGACACGGCCCAGACUCCUACGGGAUGCAGCAGUGGGGAAUAUUGCACAAUGGGCGCAAGCCUGAUGCAGCAACGCCGCGUGAGGGAUGAAGGCCUUCGGGUUGUAAACCUCUUUUAGCAGGGAAGAAGCGAAAGUGACGGUACCUGCAGAAAAAGCACCGGCUAACUACGUGCCAGCCGCCGCCGUAA